GGUCAUGAGAGGGCAAUCGGGUUUGACAUGUCACCCCAGAUUCUCAGGUUUGUCCAGCUGAUCUGGCUGGCUGGUGUAGCAGCCCCACCCUCAUGGCCCCAGGUGGUCUCUCUCAAAGUUGCUCUUGUAUUGGAAUGCAAUGACAUUUCCAGGAGGCAGUGAAUCAUUCUUUUGUCAAGGAUUUACCAGUAGCUGACGAGAAUGUUUCAUUUCCCCUCAAGAAAUUACAACAAUGUAUUUAGACCUCUAUGUCACACCAUACACAAAAAUUAACUCAAGAUAGAU
rnacentral:snRNA from 1 species